UGGGGAAUCUUGGACAAUGGGGGCAACCCUGAUCCAGCGACGCCGCGUGGGUGAUGAAGGCCUUCGGGUUGUAAAGCCCUUUCACCGGGGACGAUGAUGACGGUACCCGGAGAAGAAGCACCGGCUAACUCCGUGCCAGCAGCCGCGGUAAGACGGAGGGUGCUAGCGUUGUUCGGAAUCACUGGGCGUAAAGGGCGCGUAGGCGGCCAAGGCAGUCGGAUGUGAAAGCCCGGGGCUCAACUCCGGAGGGGCAUCCGAUACUCUUUGGCUGGAGGCCGGAAGAGGAGGGUGGAAUACCCAGUGUAGAGGUGAAAUUCGUAGAUAUUGGGUGGAACACCGGUGGCGAAAGCGGCUCUCUGGUCCGGACCUGACGCUGAGGCGCGAAAGCGUGGGGAGCAAACAGGAUUAGAUACCCCCGUAGUCC
rnacentral:rRNA from 1 species